CCUACGGGGGUCAGCAGUGGGGAAUAUUGGACAAUGGGGGCAACCCUGAUCCAGCCAUGCCGCGUGUGUGAAGAAGGCCCUCGGGUUGUAAAGCACUUUCAGUGAGGAAGAACGCCUGGUGGUUAAUACCCAUCAGGAAAGACAUCACUCACAGAAGAAGCACCGGCUAACUCCGUGCCAGCAGCCGCGGUAAUACGGAGGGUGCGAGCGUUAAUCGGAAUUACUGGGCGUAAAGCGCGCGUAGGUGGCUUGAUAAGCCGGUUGUGAAAGCCCCGGGCUCAACCUGGGAACGGCAUCCGGAACUGUCAAGCUAGAGUGCAGGAGAGGAAGGUAGAAUUCCCGGUGUAGCGGUGAAAUGCGUAGAGAUCGGGAGGAAUACCAGUGGCGAAGGCGGCCUUCUGGACUGACACUGACACUGAGGUGCGAAAGCGUGGGUAGCAAACAGGAUUAGAUACCCUUGUAGUC
rnacentral:rRNA from 1 species